rnacentral:rRNA from 1 species
UUCUAAGGGCGGUGAAGUCAGACCGGAAGGACUGGUGGAGCGCUUAGAAGUGAGAAUGCCGGUAUGAGUAGCGAAAGAAGGGUGAGAAUCCCUUCCACCGAAUAUCUAAGGUUUCCUGAGGAAGGCUCGUCCGCUCAGGGUUAGUCGGGACCUAAGCCGAGGCCGAUAGGCGUAGGCGAUGGACAACAGGUAGAGAUUCCUGUACCAGUGCUAAUUGUUUAACCGAUGGGGUGACACAGAAGGAUAGGGAAUCGCACGAAUGGAAAUGUGCGUCCAAGCAGUGAGUGUGAGAAGUAGGCAAAUCCGCUUCUCGCGAAGCAUGAGCUGUGAUGGGGAAGGAAAUUAAGUACGGAAGUUCCUGAUUUCACGCUGUCAAGAAAAGCCUCUAGGAAGAGUAGUACUGCCCGUACCGCAAACCGACACAGGUAGAUGAGGAGAGAAUCCUAAGGUGAGCGAGAGAACUCUCGUUAAGGAACUCGGCAAAAUGACCCCGUAACUUCGGGAGAAGGGGUGCUCUAUUAGGGUGCAAGCCCGAGAGAGCCGCAGUGAAUAGGCCCAGGCGACUGUUUAGCAAAAACACAGGUCUCUGCAAAACCGUAAGGUGACGUAUAGGGGCUGACGCCUGCCCGGUGCUGGAAGGUUAAGAGGAGUGCUUAGCUUCGGCGAAGGUACGAAUUGAAGCCCCAGUAAACGGCGGCCGUAACUAUAACGGUCCUAAGGUAGCGAAAUUCCUUGUCGGGUAAG